ensembl:lncRNA
CUGAACCAGAGUUUGCCAAGCCCUGGAUCAGCAUCUGCAGCAGGCGGGCUCCUGGAUGAUUCAGCGUAGCCAGAAACGGGACCAGGCUCGGUGCCCUCGUCUCUGCCACAGGCAAUAUUGUCAUUUCCUAAUUCACUGGGCUGAUGGUUGUGAGGAAGAAAUGAAGUCAUGUGUGAAGGAGUGUUUUAUAGACAUUAAUUUAACCAAGAUAGUGUGCCAGAAUUUCCAAAACAUACCAUAUUCUAAAGAUUCUUGGUUUGUACAUUUUUUCAGCUUUAUUGAGAUAUAGUAGACAUGAAACAUUGUGUAAGUUUGUGUAACAUUGUAUAGACAGAGUGUAUGAUGUGUUGAUUUGACACAUUUCUAUACUGCAAAAUGAUUCCCAUCUUAGCAUCCAGCUCCAUCCCAUCACGAUUACUUUUUUUUUUGUGAUAAGAACAUUUAAGAAUUACUCUGUUAGGAACAUUCAAGUAUACAAUACAGUAUCAUUAGCUAUAAUCACCAUGCUGUCCACUAGAUCCCCAGAACUUGUUAAUCUUAUACGUUAUUUCAGCAGAUGAAGACGGUUCUGUUUUCGAGGAUUGCAUAUGUAAAACAUUAUUGUGUAGAAGAGAUUUGACAUUUAAUUUAUCUAAUUUAUUUUUCAAAUUACUAUUGAUUGGGUUCCCUGUUCUCGUGGACAAUUUAGAAAACACAGCCACAAAUAAAAUCCUCUUUCUUUCAAUCCCACCAUUCUUGCAAAUACUGUGUAAUCAGGUGCGGGACACCUGCCCGCGCCUGUGAGCGUCUGAUCGUCUUUCCCAGUGAAUUCGGUCUCACCUCCUGCUGAGCACGCCGGUUCAACACUGGAGGAUUAGAUUUCUGUCCUCGACCGGGUCCCGCUCACCUCGGGAGAAGCAGGAUAAAUGAUCAGCCUCGGGCGGGUGUGCAGCUGUGGACCAGAGCGCAGCCCGGUGACCCGAGCGCGCGGGGCCCUCGCUGGGCGCCCCCUCCCUCUCCCCGCGCCGCCUCCAGCGCGAGUGACAACGCGCCCUCCGGGCUCGGGAGCGGCGGCGUCGGACGACCCUGGGCAGGGCUCGCCUCUAGGGGGCAUCAGUCCUAGAGCUGAUUCCACGCUCCCAGCUCCUGGUUUUGUGAGACGUCGGUCGGUUAGUCCGUUUGUCUGUCCGCCCUGGAGAGGACUCAUCGCCGGCCUGGGACAGAACCGAGCACCAAAAAGUGACCGAAUCCAGAGGAGGCAAGAGAUUGAGGCAGCGAGGGAAGGAGGCCCCGGCAGGCGACAGCAUGCAGUUCAGCCCGGCGCUGUACCUGCCGCCUCUGCUGCCGGCGCUGGUCCUCAGCACCAGGUGAGUCCAGGAGCGCGAGGGACCUGAGCCAAGGGGCGCUGCCGGCAGGUUGGAGCUACUGCAGGUCACCUGUGGGGGCAGGGGGAAAGCAAGGACAGACUCUUCAGCUGUUUACAACCCUCGCCUAAGAAUCGGACCCUUGGGGUACCUGAGCCCAUUUUAUUUGCCCCAGCCGCCCCUUAUGGGAAAAGUCUGUCCUCCUUACAGUGAGCACCACAACUUUCCCUUUUGAAGACAUGUUGCCCACCAGCCCUAGAAGUAUGGAUCAGAUAACAGAGAGACCAAAACAAAGUAGAGAGACAAGGAGGGAAUUGUCACCAGGCAGCACUCUCACGGUAGAACUGUCUCCUUAGGCUCAGAGAAUGUCUUCCACCGCCAGGCUCCAUACACAGAUGACUGUUUUGGAUACAGAGUCAGAAAAAGCUUUUUGGCCUGGGGGAUGCUGACUCCGUAAUAAAGACCUGAACUCCAGUACUGACUGUUUUGAGGUCGUUGGUUGGUGAGGGAAAGUAAGCAUUUCCAUUUCAGUGCCUUCUGAGCUGGCGUCAUUAAACAGCACGGAGGUGGUUAAAAGUUUGAAAACGGUUUCAGGGCAUUGGUGCAGAUGCUCACACUCAGAAACAACCAAAAGAUGGUUCUUCCUCAUUGCAUAUCGAUGACACUUCUUGAGGAAUAAUGUGUCUACAAUGAAAUGAACGGAUCUUAAGUGUACAGUUAUUUGAGUUUUGACAAGUGAAUAAACCGUGUAAUACUAACCCAGUCAAGAUUAGAGCGUGAAAAUCCCCUCCAGAAAUUUCCCCAUCGCUCUUUUUCAGUUAACUGCCCCACCGCCGCCAGACCACUUCUCUCUUUGUCACCGUAGAUUCCUCUUGCCUGCUCUGGAACUUCAUGUAAAUUGAAUCAUACAGCAUCUUGUCUCUAAUGUCUGGUAUCUUUCCUUAAUGCCUUUUUAGAUUUACCCAUGGUGCUGCAUAAACCAGUGAGCAGCUCAUGUCUUUUUAUCACAAAUCCUCCGUUGUAUCGAUACACAACAAUUUAUUUAUUCACUCACCGGUUGAUGGACAUUUCGUUGUUUCCAGUUGUUGGCUGUUGUGAAUAAAUUUGCUAUGGAUAUGUUCAUUCAAAGUCUUUUGGUGAACUCAGGUUUUCAACUUCCUUGGAUUCUCCCUUUUAGUGUUCUAAAGUUUGCUAUUGAGUUUGGAAAGGUCUCAACUUAGGAAAAAGAUGGCAGAUGAAAGAAAGCAAGACCACAUAUGAAAGGUGAAGAUAAUGAGCAUCUGGGAAAGGUGAGGCUGAGGAGGUGAUGGAAUUGCUCUGAUCCAGGAAAUGAGUGAGUGCCAAAGACACAUGUCAUCUAUUUCAUGAUUGUGUUAACUAUUGGUUUUGCUUUUAUGUGAGUAACAGAAUCUGGAUAUAUAUAUAUAUAUAUAUUGUAGGGAAGGAAGACAUUUCACUCUGAAGAAGGACCACUCUAGGUCCUUCUUCAGGCCAGGCUGCAAAUUAAAUUCACACGGGACAGAAUAACAGGAGAAAAUCAAACAAAGAUUUAUAGCAUGUAUACAUGGGAGAGACCCAGAAAAACUGAGUAACUCCCCAAAAUGGUGGAGGGUCUCAUCUUAAAUACCUUCCUCAGCCUAAAGGCAAAGGAGGAUCUUGGGGGUGGGGGGAGUCAGUUAUGGGAGAUUACUAGCAAAGUACAGUAAACAAGAGUAAGGUUAUUAUGCAGAUUUAAGUCCUUUCCUGCCCCAUUGAUUAAGAGUUUCUAGAGAUAAGGUCAUCCCCCCCUUCCUGGUACAGAGAGGGAGACACCUUUACAGAUGGACAUUUUAUUUACAAAUGUAAAUGUCUCUUAACAAACGGUAAGUAAAUUCUACUUUUCAAAGUGUCUCCCAUGUCUAGAGUUUUUAAAAGUAACCAGCCCAAAAUAAUCCUCAUGCCAAAGAAACCUAUCUUGGGGUGGCCAAUUCCAGUCCCCCACAAUAUAUAUGCACAUAUAUGUACAUAUAUUUUUUCUGAAUAUAUAGAAUUCAGAAUACAUAUAGUAGUUCUGAAUGCAUGGCCCUCAAAUUUUGGUCUUCCUAACAUCAUGUUUAAUAACACUCGGGUUCCUUAUGAGCACAUUGUCACGCAGAUACUAUCUGUAUUCAAUAAUUCAACUAUAUUCAAUAAAUGCUGGAACAAAUGGACAAAAACUAAAACUUCCAUGUAGUAGAUAAAUUUUAGUUGAUUAAUAUUGAGAUUGUUUUAAUGGAUUAAUUAUAAAUCUGUUAUAAUAAAAAAAUAGAAAACUGAGGUUGCUUGGUUUGUUCAUUUAAAGCACUUCUGUUCCUCUGCCUUUGGUCACUUUAGAGUCAACAGAAAACUGAAACUAUAUUCAGGAAAAAUAAAGACCUUGGAUUGUGGCACCAGGCUUUGAUAUUUUCCUUAAAGUCAGGAGGAGAAAACCUAGAACAGUGGUUCAGUCUGGCUGACUUUAGAAUCGCCUGGAAAGCUUUAAAGGAUUAAGUGUAUGUUUAAGAAGGCCCUCUGAAAAGUUCUGUGUUUGAUUUUGCGACACAAUUUGCAUGAGCGUCUGUGAAGUGAAAAUAUGAAAGCAUCUGGCCGCAGGACAUCUGGCUUCUUACCGGCUAAAUUCAGCCUGUCAUGCAAUGGUGUGGUCGCUGAGGAAGUGGGCAAUGGACCUGUGGGAAAGGUGUGAUAUGCACCUCCUCUUCCCAGAAAAGGCUGCACAUACUUGACUCGAAGGAGUGGCCGAAGAGAAGGCUCUCAUCACAUCCUGGACCUCAGGAGAGCAGAUACAAAACCUAUGCGCUAUAUACUACAUCAUAGUUAAUGUAAAACUACACCAUAUAGAAUUUAUAUUACAUUCUGUAUGCUAUACUUAACAUGUAUACUAUACGUAUAAUCAGUAUAUCUAUAUAUAUCUGUAUAGAGGGGCGCAGAGUAAACUAAUGACUCUCUAGCGCUUAUUUCUAUCCCUGACGUCUCCCCUCAGCCUUAGAUACAUUCUCCCUAGACAUCCCUAACUGAACGUGGCCACUACACAACCAUUUGUUUCCAUUUAUAUCCCAACCUUCCCCAUUUUGGUAAAUGGCUUUGCAAUCUACCCAGCCAUUCAGACUGAAAACUAGAAUUCAUCCUUGAUUCUCCUUUUCGUCUCAGCUCCAAUCCAUCUAUCUUCUCCAUCAGUUCUACUUCCCAAAUAUAUUUCCUGAGUCUGACUACUUACCUCCACCUCCACUGUUCUACGUCCGGACCACUAGCUCUCACCUCCAUUAAGGAAACAACUUCCUGAGUUGUUUCUCUGCCUUUCUUUCGCCCCCUGCAAUUCACCUUCCAUCUGAAAACUAAGGGAAAUAAAAGGAUGGUGUUGCUUUUCUUAACCCUCCAAUGGCUUCCUGUACCCACAGGAAUAAACACCAACCUCCCUUCAGUGGUCUCCCAGCCCUGCAUCAUCUGGCCCCUGCCACUCUCUGAUUGCUUCUCCCUCCACUUUCUUGUUUUUCAAACUGCCUUUGUUCCCUC